CACGGCCGGGCGCGCAGACGCACACUCUCAGUGUGUGUCUAAGGCUCCAUUUUCUCCAAAGACUUUCUGUGGCCGAGUGUGAUGGGAACCGGCACCGAUGUGUUAAAACCCAUUCACAAGAGCGUCCAAGAACAGAGGACUUUCCUCUGCCGCCCCUUCGGAGUCCCCCUUGGGUGACAAACACGGCUGAAGACACAGGCGUGCGCCCGGGCUGCAGGCAGAAACCAAAACAGCCUUUCCUGAAAAUCACAGUACAAUGCAAGGCUGUUUCGGUCAUUUUCCUACGGAAAUAAAACGCUAUAAAUAGAACUUGCGAGACUGGCUGCCGCUCCUUUCCUGCUCGGGGAGGGAGCGCAGGCUCCAGGCGCUAAACGGACUCAGAAGGGCUUCCCAAAGCAGACCAAUCACGAUCGGUGGGCGCGCAGCAGACGCCGGAGCCGGUGUGCUGAUGAAGUUACUCUGCGGCUGAAUUACUGU